rnacentral:rRNA from 1 species
ACUCUUUGGAGAGUUUGAUCCUGGCUCAGGACGAACGCUGGCGGCGUGCCUAAUACAUGCAAGUCGAGCGAGGAGCUUUUAGCUCCUAGCGGCGAACGGGUGAGUAACACGUGGGCAACCUGCCCGUAAGACUGGGAUAACUUCGGGAAACCGGAGCUAAUACUGGAUAAUCUUGAUCUUCGCAUGAAGAACGAGUAAAAGAUUUAUCACUUACGGAUGGGCCCGCGGUGCAUUA